UACGUAGGGUGCAAGCGUUGCCCGGAUUUAUUGGGCGUAAAGGGCGCGUAGGCGGCUCGGCACGUCCGUUGUGAAAUCGCCCGGCUCAACUGGGCGGGGUCAGCGGAUACGGCCGAGCUUGAGCAAGCUAGGGGGCAAUGGAAUUCCCGGUGUAGUGGUGGAAUGCGUAGAUAUCGGGAGGAACACCGGUGGCGAAGGCGGCCCACUGGUCCGGUACUGACGCUGAGGUGCGAAAGCGUGGGGAGCAAACAGG
rnacentral:rRNA from 1 species